UACGAAGGGGGCAAGCGUUGCUCGGAAUCACUGGGCGUAAAGGGCGCGUAGGCGGCCAUUCAAGUCGGGGGUGAAAGCCUGUGGCUCAACCACAGAAUUGCCUUCGGUACUGUUUGGCUUGAGUUUGGUAGAGGUUGGUGGAACUGCGAGUGUAGAGGUGAAAUUCGUAGAUAUUCGCAAGAACACCAGUGGCGAAGGCGGCCAACUGGACCAAUACUGACGCUGAGGCGCGAAAGCGUGGGGAGCAAACAGG
rnacentral:rRNA from 1 species